rnacentral:rRNA from 1 species
GACGAACGCUGGCGGCGUGCUUAACACAUGCAAGUCGAACGGAAAGGCCCUGCUUUUGUGGGGUGCUCGAGUGGCGAACGGGUGAGUAACACGUGAGUAACCUGCCCUUGACUUUGGGAUAACUUCAGGAAACUGGGGCUAAUACCGGAUAGGAGCUCCUGCUGCAUGGUGGGGGUUGGAAAGUUUCGGCGGUUGGGGAUGGACUCGCGGCUUAUCAGCUUGUUGGUGGGGUAGUGGCUUACCCAGGCUUUGACGGGUAGCCGGCCUGAGAGGGGGGACGGCCACAAGGGGACUGAGAUACGGACCAGACGCGUACGGGAGGCAGCAGGGGGAAGUAUGACACAAUGGGCGGGAGCCUGAGGCAGAGACGCCGCGUGCGGGAAGACGGCCUUCGGGUUGUAAACCGCUUUCGCCUGUGACGAAGCGUGAGUGACGGUAAUGAGUAAAGAAGCACCGGCUAACUACGUG